CCUCUGACUGGUUUGGUCCUGUCACCUAGAUCUCAGACAGUGCAUUCAGCAGAAACAGGAUUGAAGUGAGGAACCCAGCUCCGUGCCACUGUUUCCUCAUGUGUAAAAUGAUUCAUACUGUUUAUCUCAUUGCGUUGUUGUAGGGAAAGGUGAGUUAGGACAGGCUUGGCAUGUCAGAAAUGCUCCAUAAAUGUUAGCUGUGAUCAUCAACAUCACGGAUUCUUGACAUCUGUGGUUAUAAUGUACCCCAGAUCCUUUUCCAGUUUCCUAAAUGACCAACAAAGAAUGCAUAUGCUGGCUCCUGAGUUUCUCCAAAUGACAUGUUCCAUGUUGAAUGCAGUAUUUCCUGUGUACAUCAUCACACUGCAAGUCAACCAACUAUUCGGCUUAGCUUUCACCAUGGGGGUGAGUAUGUGGUGGCCAGAAUUCACUGAGAUGCAGUAUUUUUAUUACCCCAUGAGUUUGUCACUGACUCAGUUGUAAGCAGAGACCAACCCAACCACAUGAAUGAGCAGUCCCUGGGUCCCCUCCACCCCCUGCAAAAGCCCUGCAGAGCUGAGAACUUUGCCCAGAGCCCCAGCAGUGGACAUGACUCAAAUCUGUGGCCCAGCAAAGCUGUCAGUUCUCAUGCUAUGGGGUCAUUUCAUCUGGAACUGUUUAAACCAAGUAAGUUGGCACCAUAACUGUCAGAGAGCCAUUAUGAUUUUGCCCAAGAUGUGUUUCAGAGGAUGCUAGUUCCAGUGAAUGUUUACAGCUGCUGAGUCUUUGCUGGGCUCUCAAGGAAGUUUGAGGAACCUUGGCAUUUUAAGCAAGUUCCUUUUCUGAGGACAUCUGCAUCUUUCACAAGCCAACUUUGAGUUUGCAAGGGAGGAACAGGUCUCCCAGUGCACGUGGGCAAAUGUCUUCAGGACAAUCCUAGAGCCUAAAGGCGUUAUUAUCUCCGUUUAAGACUCCUUUUAAAAGAUGAAGAAACUGGGAAUCUGAGCAGUAAGGCAGUGACCUCCUGGGAACUUAAAAACCAGGAGAGGUGCCAAAGAGCCAGGAGACUGCAAUCCCUGUGGUCCUGAAUUUUAAAAUGCUGAAGGUGAACUCAUAAACGACAGCAGGUGCAGACAAGGAUCUAGAAGCCCUGGACAUCCACGGUCCCAAGAGAGCUGAGGAAAGCAGAAGUAAAAAAAAAGUCUGCAUCUAACACACAGCUAGCCUAACAGAGAGUCCAGCCUCACCAAAAAGAGAAGUCCUCCCCCAGCCCCCCACCCCGGGAAGAAGUGAAGGAGGGGGAGAAAGAUGGGCACAAGCUAACUCCUGUGGACUAAAAAAGAUGCACAACGUGAAGGCUGCAAGAGAAACAGGUGUUCGGAAAGUAAGAAGACCGUUGGGGGAAGGCAGGGUCUUGGAACCUGGAGACAUGCUGGGUGCAGAGACUGGAGGCCCAUCCUUUGCAUCUCCUCCCUAGACCAGCUGUAGGAGGAGUGUUGGACCCCAAACAGAAGAGUGCACACCUCUGAGAUGAAAAGCAUUUCUGGAGCCCCCAGACCCAGAGUGGUAGGAGGAAGAGUGUAUGGAGUGUUAGAAGCGGGACUGUUUUCCUCUCUCAGGCCCUGGGCCCCAGAUCUAGAACUGUGACCUCCCAGCUCAUGGUCAAGUUGUCCUUGAAGGUACGGUCCAGGUCUAGCGGGCUGGAAGAUCCUCUGGAAGCAGUGAUUCAGGAAACACGGCUCCAUCUAUCCUGUGGUUCUACAACCUUCAGUGCAUGGUACUCAGAGUGAACUUGGGGGUUCUCUCCCUUUCAGUCCAGAAGAGAGAGAGAGUGAAAUAGACCUGGAAGUGUCAUCUUCCAGUGAUGACUUUCAUGCAUGACGUUCUGCCUGGAACUCAGUCAUACAGUGCCAGCUAAUAUAAUAGAGGCCAGGGAGUGGAGUCCAGCUAUGUGGACAGGAAGAAGAGGUCCUCUAGUCCCUGCUACUUGUUACCUGUGGUGUUGGUACAAAUCCUAUCUAUUCUACCUCUAAAAAUUUUUCUCUCUUCUCUAUUUACAGUAUAGAGAAGAUUUAAAAUUUCUAUCCUUUCAUAAGCCUUUCAACUUCUUUUUUCUGUUUUUAUCUUCCCAAUUUCCUUUAAAUAGUUGCCAUGUCUAAUAUAACUUAGACAUAAUCAUAUUACUCUCCUUACCCCAAAGUAUCCAUAUCCUCUACACCUAUGCUCAUAGAAUAAAGCACAAACUCUUUAGCCUGGUACAAAAGUUCUGCUCACCAAGUGCACACAUACAAUUCACACACAAAUGAAUUCUGUUUCCUAUGCCCUGUUCUUUCCUUUUCCAUGUAGUGCAUGUGAUGGUCCUUCAGCCUUCUCUGUCUCUUAAAACCAUACUCACAUGUCCUACCCUCCAUGAAACUGUCCUCAAGUUGCCUGGUUGAAAUUCUUUCUUCCAGUGUUCUCAUGCAUGCUGCCUGCUCAGUCGCUUCAGUCAUAUCCAAUUCUUUUGCGACCUUAUGUUCUGUCCAUGGGAUUCUCCAUGCAAGAAUACUGGAGUUGGUUGCUAUGCCUUCCUCUGGGGGUCUUCCCAACCCAGGGAUCCGAACUUGCAUCUCCUGUGUCUCCUGCAUUGCAGGUGGAUUCUUUACCCACUGAGCCAUCUGGAAAGCCCAGUGUUCUCAUAGCCCUUUGUUAACCUCUGCAUUUGAUUCUUAAUGUUGUCACUAUGUUAUGUUAACAGUAUUCUCACAUUUUGUGGUCAAGGACAUAUGUGUAUCAGCAAAGAGCAGAACCAAUUGGAAAUUUACAAAUAUUCACAUGUGUCCAUGUUAUACAGGAAAACAAAAGUAGCAUUCUUUGAGUCUUGUCAAUUUAAAACUUUAUCAAGUCAGUUUCUUCUUGUGGUCUUUAUGAGUCAGAAGGAAGCAUCACUCCCACUGUUGGUGCAAGAGAAGGGAAACCUCUUCUCACUCUUUUCUAAGAAUACUUUGAUUAAUUGUAAAGAUUUCAUGGUUUAAUACACAACUUAGUGACUGAACAGCAAUGACAUGUUUUAAGGCCAGUCUCUGUAAUUUCAUUAAUUAAUCUUAAAAUUUAAAAGCAGGCUUGUAAGUAUAGGAUGGAAAGGGAGAAAGAGAAGAAUAACUUGAUAGUGAAGAAAGCAGACAAACCUCUCCACCAGGUGAUCAAGGAUAAUAUCCGCAGUGGUGAGUCAUGCUGAUGGUGUGCCCUUGGUGUGGUAUGAUGAGAAUGAUACUGUGCCUCUGCGGUCCUCCUCCCAAAACAUUACCCAGUCUGAUUAGGAGAAAAACAUCAGACAAGCCCCACUUGAGAGAUAUUGUACAAAAUAUCUCACCAGUAAUCUUCAAAACUGUCAAGGUCAUCAGAAAUAGGGAAAAUCUGAGAAACUUUGUCACAACCAAGAGUAAACCAAGGAGACAUGAUAACUAAAUAUAAUGUGUUAAAUGGAAUAGGAUCCUGAGAUACAGGAAGGGCAUUAGGAAGGAAAAUGAGGCCAUCUUAAUUAAAAAAUGAACUUGAGUUAAUAAUCACAUAUCAAUAUCAGUUCUUUAUUGUGACCGAUGUACCAUGAUAAUGUAAGAUGGUGAUAAUAGAGGAAACUGGCUGUGGGACAUAUGGGAAGUGUUCACACUGUCUAUGAUGAUUAAUUUUAUGUGUCAACCUGGCUAGACCAUGGUACCCAGUUAUUUGGUCAAACACAACUCUAAAUGCUUCUAUAAAGAUUUUUUUUAGGUGUAAUUAACAUUAAAUCAGUAAACUUUGAGUAAAGCAUAUUACUCUUCAUCACGUGGGAAGGUCUUUCCAAUCAGUUGAAGUUGUUAAAAGACGGAAGUCCUCUUAGUUGAAACUGGGAUGAAGUAUGGUCUUGAGUUCAUAGUCAUGUAUUAACAUUGGUUCAUUAAUUGUGACAAAUGUACCAUACAAAUAUGUUAAUAACAGGGGAAACUGGCUGUGGGCUGUAUGGGAACUCUCUUUACUAUCUUUGUGAUAAUUCUGUGAGCCUAAAACUGUUAUAAUAUUUUAAAAUCCUUAAAAAAAAAUCAGACUUGCAGAAUUCAACUUAACUGGCAGAAGUAUGAUUUUGUGUUUAAAACAGUGAAACAAGGAACAUAUAUCAUUGUGUUCCACAAUAGCAUUCUGAGUCCUGCUAAAUUGACACAAUGGGGUAAAAACUUAUUUCUCUUUAUUAACUUGUACAAAGAAAUGCUUUUGUUCAGCCAAUGAGUGUUUUACAGUUAAACACUGUACGUGGGAGAAAAUCAAAAGGGAAUGCAUUGUAAAACUAAACUCCUUUACUUAAAAGGGGCCUAAAAUGUGUUUCUUGUUUUUAAUGGGGAUAAUUAUUUUCAGUCUUUAAUAAUCAUUCCUCUUUCUAGGCAGCUCUUGCUGCCACUUUAAUAGAACACAGUGGCACAGAGAGAACUGGGAACAGGGGCAAGGGAGAUUUUGGACAGAAAGGUCUUUGCUCUGUCUGACAGGUAACACUCAGAACACUGGGGAAGUUGAAAUGAAGCCAUUCAUUCAGAACUAUGUCUUGUUUGCCUUCUAUACACCAGGGUGUGAGGGCUGGGAAGACCCAGAGGAAUCGGGUGGAGAGGGAGGUGGGAGCGGGGAUCAGGAUGGGGAAUACAUGUAAAUCCAUGGCUGAUUCAUGUCAAUGUAUGACAAAAACCACU